CUCUCCGGCAGUCUGGCUCUCUCCAUCCCAAUCCCGACCUACCGCCCGCUCCCGCAAGCCAUGGACGCCACGGCCACCGGCGCCAAGGGGAAGAAGGGCGCCGCCGGGCGCAAGGCCGGCGGGCCCAGGAAGAAGUCGGUGACCCGGUCCGUGAAGGCCGGGCUCCAGUUCCCCGUCGGUCGCAUCGGGCGGUACCUCAAGAAGGGCCGCUACGCCCAGCGCGUCGGCACCGGCGCCCCCGUCUACCUCGCCGCCGUCCUCGAGUACCUCGCCGCCGAGCUGCUGGAGCUCGCCGGCAACGCCGCCAAGGACAACAAGAAGAGCCGCAUCAUCCCGCGCCACCUGCUGCUCGCCGUCCGGAACGACGAGGAGCUCGGCAAGCUGCUGGCCGGCGUCACCAUCGCGCACGGCGGCGUCAUCCCCAAGAUCAACCCCGUGCUGCUCCCCAAGAAGACGGCGGAGAAGGAGGGCCAGGCGCCCAAGUCCCCCAAGAAGGCCGCCAAGUCGCCCAAGAAGGCCGCCACCCCGAAGAAAGCUUAAGAGAGAUGCGCUCUCUGUCGUUUAGGAUGUGUGCUGUGUAGUGUUCGUCUGAUUAGUGAUGUGAAGGUGUUCCGUCUAGUUGUUGAUGUACCCUGUGUUGUGUUCAUGUUCAUGGAAGAAAUUCAGUAAUCUCUCUGAAUUCCCAAAUAUGCUGCUGUCUCUUUGAGUCAUUGCACAGGAGAUUUGAAUCACUGACGCGUCACCUGUUGCCCGUGUGGCUGAAAUUGGCAAACGAAUUUUGACAGAUGGCAGUUGUUCGGCUCAUGCUUGUGGAUUCAGUUUACUGCUCUGGAGGAGUAUUUGAGAAAGCAACAGCAGAGCGGUAAACUAUGCACAAAAACGGAGCAGUGAACUGAAUCUGGAUGCAAAUUGCGGUAAAAAACACUUCCUAUGAAUUUGUGUCGGAGGGAAUUGAAUAACCUGUCAAUGCCUGACAUCGUUCGCUGUGCGGAAGCGAAUAGCAUCCAGCACAACAAACGGUUCACGCCACAGAAGUCGCCUUGUCUCGGCUGGACCCUGUGAUUCCGGAAGUUUGCACGGAGGCAGACGACUCCGGGCUGUUCAUCGGCUGGGUGCAGGUGCAUCAUGCCCUUCACUACCGGGGAUUAAUUUCUGAACAGGAGCGACGGAUGGAGAGGGUUGUCCUAGCAAAUCUCUGUAAACAGUAUUCGCUCCGUUCGGAAAUAAGUGACGCUGUCAGUGAUGCCAAAAUGCUCGACCCAGCUGCGACCUGAUGGUUGGCAGCAGCAUGUAAAAACUGGCUGUUUUCAUCUCCUGCAACACACCAUCUGAUCUUUGCUCUUCUUCGCUACAUUGCAGUCUGCCAGAGAGUCAGCUUCUCAGCCUUUGCCGAAGCAAACUUACUGAAGGUGAACCCCAGCCCGUUUGUUAUUGUCAAUUGGGACGGACCAGAGUAAGUUUGGAGCCCUGAUGCGCCCCAAUUGGCCUGAACAACAACGCCUUUUGACGGCUCCAAUUCCUGAGAGCAGCCCUGAAUCCCCUGAUGCGCCCCAAUUUUAAGCUGAUUAGUGAGGUUGACGAGCUGAUGUGCCUGGUGCCCCUAGCCCACCCUUCCUGUAUAAUGUUUCUGGUUUCCUCCAUGUCCACCCAGUGGUUUUCAAACCGAAAUAAUCUGCAUUUUGGUGUCUCUCUGUUAAACUCCACCAAGAUGGGUGUCUGAUCCGAUGUAAUAGCAGUCUCAACCCUAGCAGAAGUUUGGAGGAAGCAUAAAUUCCAAUCCGCAUUGACAAGCACCCUGUCUAGACCAGAGUAGGAUUCCUUCUCUUAUUUGAACAGGUAAAAAUUCUAUUGGCGACGUCAAUGUCAUCCAGAGCAUUGUCAAUUGAUGCGGCAACUGGACUUCUCAUGAUCAUAUCUAUAUAUACAUGUUAAAAUCUCUCACAAUCAUCCAUGCUUCAUUGACAGAGCAGGCAAGUUGAUCCGUGACUUGGACAAAACGACCUUUCUUGGUUACAAGGAGCAUAAACAGUGGUUAACAGUGCUGAUAAGUUGCUUGAAACUGAGGAUACCUGGACAGUGCUACGGAAUUUAUGAGUAUGACAGGUGACAUUCGCCUGAUCCUACGCUAUCGAAAUCCCACCAGAAGAUAGAGCAUGCGAGUGCAGUCGACUUGGAAGAAGAGAUUUGAUCUUGAACAUGGAAAUAUCCUCGAGCUUGGUUUUCUGAAAACAAACAACAUUUGGGCCGCAGGAGGUUAUGGUAUUACAGACGAGCCAACACUUGUCCACAUUGCCAAGACAACGGACGUUUCAGUUUAGGAAUUUCAUCAGAGCAGUAAAAAAAACACGCCUUUUGCUUCGGUACACCCCCUUACAAGUUUACACGAAUCUUAAAGUUAGAACGCCGAUAAGUGCCACACGUGUGGGCAUUAGGGAGUCCGCCCACACAUUUUAUAUGGUGUAUAAGAGGAACAACCCACACACCUACGUGUGGGCAAAACAAUUAGCGCCCACACGCCUCUUUUUUUCCCUCCCAUUCCUCUCACACGCGUGCGUGUGGGCGAAGUUGAUAACGCCCACACGCCCGUAUGUCAGGCCUCGUACCUCCUGGUCCCGCACGCCACGCGUGACGGUCACCGCGCGCCCGCAGUUGCCAUGGUCCAGACCCUCGUCCAUAUUCGUUUAAUUGCAGUUGCCAUGUCGCUGAACUACGGUUGCCAUGUCGGACAACUGCAGUUGCCAUGGUUGCUCAAUUGCAGUUGCCAUGUAUGGUCUGAUCUAAUGUAGUUGCCAUGAUUUCAUAACUUUAGGAGUUGCCACAUACUAACACUAGGUAGUUGAGAGAGUUACCAUGUGCUCACAAGCAUGCUAGGGCAGUUGCCAUGUAAAAAGAAAGAGUUGCCAUCUGCUUACGUGCACGUUAGGGCAGUUGCCAUGUACAUGCACGUUAGGGCAGUUGCCAUGUAUCAUGCAAAAACAUAUGGCAACUCGGUAAAAGAAAAUUGCCAUCUGCUUACGUGCACACUAGGCAGUUGCCGUGUACCCUGCAAAACACAUGGCAAACUCGGGUAAAAAAGAGAGUUGCCACCUGCUUAUAAAAGCACACUAGGGGCAGUUGCCAUGUGCAGUGCAAAAACACAUGGCAACUAGCAGCUUGGGUGUGGGAGAGGAAAAUGACGUGUGGGCAAGAUGCCAAAUGCCCACACACUAGCUCUUGUGUGUGCGUGCAAAGUGGCGUGUGGGCGAACUGCUGAACGCCCACACACCAGCCCCUUCUGUGUGGUGAAACGGCCGUGUGGACGACCGACUGAACGCCCACACACCAGGCCAGUCCUACAUGGCACUAGAAAUAUGCCAAAAUUCGUGCGCUCACGAACGGACGCGGAUCCACACGUGUGGGUGCCCACACGUGUGGGCGUUAACAUUUCCGUAAAGUUACUUAAAAAGGCUAUCGCCAUAUUAGCCUGCAGAUGAAACAUAUAGAAUAGAUUUAUUUGGAUGUAAAAGACUAUAUUAUCCUUAUUGAUUAAAGGGGUAUCUUCUAAUCUUCACUUUUAAUCUGCAUUAAAAUCCGUAAACUUUUCUAGAAGGUGUACCGAAGCAAAGUUCAUAGCAUUAAGCCAUUAAGCCAGAACGAAGCAGAGGAGGAUGAUUGCAGAGAGCGGUGUAAACAAGGUAUCAAAAGUCAACAAUUUCAUUCCCAAAUGGACUAACAGAGUACAAAGUCCAAACGAUGAUGCGGUACAGGCUCUGAAGGAGCAACACACUGAAGGACACAAGUAAAAGAUAACUGCUAUCUGCUCGACAAUCCAUAGGAGCCGAAGCAAACUCGAUGACACUUGAACUGAGAAGGAAGGCAUAGGACACUGACGAAGCAGAGGUACCUCUGAUGAGCACAUGUAAUCCACAUGUAUGGGCGCACCUAUGCCUCGCUUAUAGCAAGACAUAGGUUGCAGUCGCAUCAGGCUUCUCACUAAAUGGGCCGGCCCAGCGCGGGAGGCCACUGGCUUGUUUUUUUUCGUUUUCUAUAUUUUUGAAACUUUCAAAUAUUUUAGAUGUACAUUACAGAAACACUUACCAUAAGGCAUUUUAUAGAAAAUGUUAAUUAAGCAUUUAAAAAUGUUAAAUGUGUAUGGAGAAAAUGUUUCUCAUAUAAAAAAACAUACAAUGUGUAUGAAAAAUGUUGAUCACGAAUUUAAAACAUGUUAAUCGAACAUUUGAAAAAAAAUAUUAAUCAUGUAUUUGAAAAAUGUUAUCAAGCUUUUGAAAAAUGUUAAAGGUGUAUAAAAAAUGUUUUACAUCUAUACGAAAACUAUAUAUAAAACAGAAAAAAGUGUGUACGAGAAAUGUUGAUCAUGUUGUUAGAAAAUGUUAAAUGUGUAUAGAGAAAAUGUUUCUCAUAUAUAUGAAAAAUUUAUACAAGAAAUAGAGAAUAUCCAUGAAAAUGUUGAUCACAUAUUUUUUAAAUGUUAAUCCAGCAUUUGAAGAAAAUGAUAAUAAAGUAUUUAAAGUAUAUUAAUCAAGCAUUUGAAAAAUGCUAAAUGUGUAUUAAAAAUGUUUGUCAUAUAUAUGAAAUAUAUAUACUACAAAACAAAUACAAUGUGUAUGAAAAAUGUUGAUCAUGUUUUUAAAAAUAUUUUAAAUGUGUAUGUAAAACAUGUUCUCGGAGUAUACAAAAAAUGUAUACUGUGUGUGGAAAACUGUUUAUUGCCACUAAAAAAAAUCCCCGCGUAUUGAAAAAUGUAGACCAUGUGUUAGAAAUAAUGUUAAUCUUGUAUUUACAAGAUGUUAAACGUGUAUAUACAAAUGUAUUAGAUAUAUAACAUAAAUGUACAUAUGUAUGCAAAAUAUUAGUAAAAAAUGUAUUAGUUAUGAAAAACUGUUAAUAAUAUAUUUUAGUAAUAUUAAACAUGUAUAUAAAUAUGUUUCUGAUGUAUACAAAAAAUAUAGAAUGUGUACUGAAAAAUGUUUGCAUGUGUUGAAAAAAAGAAAUCGAUGAAAAUCUACAAGAGAAACAAAGGAACCCAAUAAAAACAAAAAAACAUAAAAAAGAAAAUGAAAAAGAAAGAAAACCAAUGCAAAAGAAUGGAUGCAAUGAAAACCAAGAAAGAAACAAGAAAAAACGAAGAAAGCCAAUGAAAACCAGGAAAGAAAUAAAGAAAACCAAAACAAAAUAAAAAAAUGGAAAUGAAAGAAAAAACCCAAUGAAAAUGAAGAAAGAACAAAAUAAAACCAAAAAAAGAAAAUAAAAAAGAGUAAAAGACUGGAAUAUAGCAAAGAAAACCUGUAAAGAAUAAAGGAAAAAACAAAAAUGAAGAAACCUACGAAGAAUCAAAAAGCCAGAAAGAACAAAGAAAAUGAAAAAACACAAAUAAAACUGAAGAAAAAAAACUAAAAUAUGUGAUAUAUACAAAGCCUGUUUCACAUAAAGGAAUCAACGGCUUUACCAGUGAUUUAAUAUAUGCA
rnacentral:lncRNA from 1 species